AUUGAACGCUAGCGGGAUGCUUUGCACAUGCAAGUCGAACGGCAGCGCGGACUUCGGUCUGGCGGCGAGUGGCGAACGGGUGAGUAAUGUAUCGGAACGUGCCCAGUAGCGGGGGAUAACUACGCGAAAGCGUAGCUAAUACCGCAUACGCCCUACGGGGGAAAGCAGGGGAUCGUAAGACCUUGCACUAUUGGAGCGGCCGAUAUCGGAUUAGCUAGUUGGUGAGGUAACGGCUCACCAAGGCGACGAUCCGUAGCUGGUUUGAGAGGACGACCAGCCACACUGGGACUGAGACACGGCCCAGACUCCUACGGGAGGCAGCAGUGGGGAAUUUUGGACAAUGGGGGCAACCCUGAUCCAGCCAUCCCGCGUGUGCGAUGAAGGCCUUCGGGUUGUAAAGCACUUUUGGCAGGAAAGAAACGUCGCGGGCUAAUACCCCGUGGAACUGACGGUACCUGCAGAAUAAGCACCGGCUAACUACGUG
rnacentral:rRNA from 1 species